AUUCGGUAACGGCGAGUUUUUAUUGUUAUUCUGCUAUUCAAGCGAUUCGAGCUUUGAACUAUUAUCAGACUCCGAUCGCCUUACGUUGACCUCUCGAUCAAGACAAAACUCAGUAUUUCCCUUUGCAUAACGGUUAUAUUAUCAACUAUCAAUAAGGUGAAAUAAGAGUUUGAAAUGAAAAAAAGUUUUUCUAUAGAUUUGGUACCGUAUACAGCCAGUGGUUGCACAACCUUAUUUUCUAAAACAUUUGGCGCCGUGAUCAAAUUCGAGGCGUACUGGAAUGUCGGUCAAACUGUCAAAGGGUCAAGGAACAUGUCAAAGGGUCAAGGAACAUGUCAAAGGUCUGUUUGCAUAACAUUCCAUCGUCAACCCCUUGAGCAUAUAGACCAGCCCUUGUGUGCCUUCCAUCUGACUCCAGAUGUAGGGCGAACAUCUGGCGGAGCCGGGGGCAAGAAAUCCGUUCUCUUAUUCCCCGCAGUUUCACGGUUUGUGAUCGACUAUGGAUUGCAACGACUACGAUAUGGAUUGAUCGACCAUGGAAGCAAACGACCGGUUCCCAAAGAACUCAAAUAAUAAUGAAAAGUUAAACUCAAUAUUUAUAGACUUCACCGAAUGUCAAGUCCCGUUGGAUGGAUUGACCAGUCACCAUCGCUUCCGAUCGUCCGGAUCCCAUCGACCUACAGACGGACGCCCUCGAGCUCUACAUCCGCUUGCAGACAGAGCGGCCGUCUGAUCAGACGAAUCAGCAUUUGACCAACGAAGAUUUCUCCGCAUCUGCCCGUUUGUUUUCUUCAUUCAAGCUCCAAGUAAUUGCACACACCUGUACAAACCAACAAUUAAUCUGAAAGAAGUAUCGAAUUCAAAAUCAAAGUAAAGCUAAUUCAUUUAUAUAGUUUAUUGUUAAUCCGUUUUUUCCUGUUGGAUAUUUAUUUAAGAUAUUCAAACCACUAAAUAGCCGUAAUAGUUCACAGUGAUAUGCUCUCGUUUUCUGCCGAAUAUUAAUCUCUCUUCAUCGCGCUACCGCACAACCGAAUCUACAAAGGCUCAUCUUUUAUACCACCUAAUUUAAUUUUAAUUCUCUACAAUGGGACUUGUAGCAAUUUCCUACAUCAACCAAGCUUUUUUUUUCUAAAAAAAAGCGCAAAGCUUGCAGAAAAAAGUUACCUGCAUGAAAUAAGUGAAGUAAUUAUUCAACGAGAUUUAUAGAGAUACAAAAUGAGUACAAUGGAAAUUUGCUUGCAGUCAAUCAGUCAAUAGGCUCAAUUCCAUUAUAGUAUCAUGCUUUCGGCAUUAAGCGGAUGGAUUCAGCGCCGUAAUUCUUUGUCCACAUAAAAAGCUGCUCGCAUUUUAUGAUUUGCCUAUUUGGUAUUGGGAUUACGACAGCGGACUCUGUGAUGCUGUUAUUUCUUUAUAGAUGUAUAGCGCUAAUAGAAGUAGGCCUAUACACACCCUUUGAUGCGUUACAGUAAGUAUUUAAACUUGAAUAGGCAAAGAGUGGGGCUCUCUGACGAGAAAAGAAAGAAUUUGGUGUCAAAUGUUUUUCAACUAACGCGUUUAAAAAUUCUAAUUUGUAAAAGACAACAGUUAUUCGUAUACCUGUGGACCAUUUGUUGAAGUCGUUGUUGGAUACAUUAGUCGCUUAUUGUUAAAGAAGCGUGAAAUCAAUCAGCCACAACCAGAUACCACCAGAUACCACAGCUUCCCACAAGAAUAACGUAAAAUAGCGUUUUUACUUCAAACACAAUUUUUUAAACUUUAUUGGAAGUUUAUUAUUGGAAGUUUAUUGGAACUUUGGAAGUACUAUUAGAUCAAAGUCGGAACUGAAACAUCAACACUGAUCAUAACCAGAAACUGCCACUGCCACCAGCGAUUAGUCAAGCAACAACGAAUGAAUCGACCACGCCCAAUAUUUUUCAAGGCUGACGAGGUAAACAAUUUUCUUGGUUACUAAAAAUAAUUAGAGAAUAUGGGUGCAAAUUUUGUUCGUGAAUAGGAGAAGGAACGGAAGGAAUUUUAAAAUGUGGCCUUUGUGAUAAGAUAUAGCCUUUAAACUUUAAAGCCUUUAAAACUUUUAAAUGCCACACCUAUAAUAAUGUUAAAUUUUUUUUCAUGUGGAUCAUGAAGCUUCAGUCUUCAGCCUACUUACAAGCUCAUCCUCAGUUUUCUUCACUUCACUCGACUUCACUUGAUCAGGUCCUUAUCAUAUCACAAGCAAAAAGGAAAAGGUACCCGAAGGUACCAAAUAUUUUCGCGUCAAUCUUCUAUUUAAUCCUGGGUAGUUUUAAGCAUUGGCAACUAGACUCAAUCCUGACACGUUAAUGAAUUCUUUUUUGCACCAUUCAUUUCAAAUAAAUCCUGUUGUUGCAGGUAGUAGUCAUCCAGUAAGUGUAAGGAAGAAUUAAGGUAAGUGUAAGCAUGGUGUAAGCAUCAUUUCUAUUACAUGUUUGCAACUGUUGAGCUUAUAGUCUCAGAGCUUUGUUAGUGUAAAAGAUGAAAUAAAAUUCUUCUUGUUUUUGUAACAGGUAGAAUUUAAAUGCACGAGAAGAAGGAGAAGAAGAGUAAAACGAAGGUAAGUAUUUUUUUUGCGUUUUUUGAAUGCUCAGGUUGUAGUGUAUUGAAAUCAAUUCUAUAUUGACAAACUACACAUUUAUAGUCAUAUAUAUAUAAAGUGCGAUUUCUUAGCUAGAAGGUAGAGGUCACAAUUAAACAUGCAGUAUGUAGUGUGGUUGAUUAUAGUUGAAUAAUGUAGGCCCUAUCAUGUGAUAUAAUUAUAAUAUUACCGUCUGUA